rnacentral:rRNA from 1 species
AGCGAACGCUGGCGGCAGGCCUAACACAUGCAAGUCGAACGAACUCUUCGGAGUUAGUGGCGGACGGGUGAGUAACACGUGGGAACGUGCCUUUUGGUUCGGAAUAACUCAGGGAAACUUGUGCUAAUACCGAAUGUGCCCUUCGGGGGAAAGAUUUAUCGCCAUUAGAGCGGCCCGCGUCUGAUUAGCUAGUUGGUGAGGUAACGGCUCACCAAGGCGACGAUCAGUAGCUGGUCUGAGAGGAUGACCAGCCACACUGGGCCUGAGACACGGCCCAGACUCCUACGGGAGGCAGCAGUGGGGAAUCUUGCGCAAUGGGCGAAAGCCUGACGCAGCCAUGCCGCGUGAAUGAUGAAGGUCUUAGGAUUGUAAAAUUCUUUCACCGGGGACGAUAAUGACGGUACCCGGAGAAGAAGCCCCGGCUAACUUCGUG